ACAAGAUCUUUCUCUGUUGCCCAUGCUGGAAUGCAGUGGCAUGAUCAUGGCUCACUGCAGCCUUGACCUCCUCAGCUCAAAAGAUCCUCCUGCCUCAGUCUCCCAAAUAGCUGGAACCACAGGUACGUGCCACCAUUCCAGCUUAUUUUAAAAAAUCAUUUUUAGAGAUGGGGUCUUGCUAUGUUGUUCAGGCUGGUCUUGAACCCCUGGGCUCAAGCAUCCCUCCCACUGAAGCCUUCUGAGUCACUGUGAUUACAGGCUUGAGCCAUCACAUCCAGCCAACCCUGGGACACAUAAAUUGCAUUUUUCCCUAAAUAACAAACUCCAAAUAAACUGGAGACUUAUUUUUUCAACCAUCUUUUCAUAUCUCUAUAGAAGAUUGCCUGAGCUCCCUAACUCUCAAUAAUAGAAUGUACUGCAUUUGAUAGUCUCCAAAUCCUUAACAUUUCCUAAGCCAAAGGCAUGAAUGUGUUCAAAGCUUUGUCCUUUCCUUUCUGGGAUAUGUGUGCAAGAGGCUAUGUGUGGAUUUUACAUGAUCAUUCUCAGCUGUUUCUAUUUAUGUCUCCUCCUACAGAUUAUGAGGUUCUCAGGGGCGGGAAUGGAUUUUUCUAAAUCAGGAACUUAAAUGAAGCAUGUGCCCAAUAAAUAUGUAUUGAAUUUAAUUGAAUUUUCGUUUUUAAAAGGUGUCAUCAUUUACAAUCAGCAUUUCUAAAGAAAGCACAUUGAACAUGAGGCUGAGGAGAUUGUGCCGCAUGGUGCACUGGCUCAGCUUACCUGGGCUAUGGUGCUUCCUGCACAUGCCCUCACCUUCUUCAUCCCAGGCGCUGGCUCAGUUUCCUCCACUCACAGAGCCCUCAGCCGUGCUGGUCCCUGGAGGAGAGCAGAAUACACAAGACCCAGAAGCUGGAGGCUGGACUGUAGGGUCCUGUGGCAAGUGGUAAGAGUUGAGGCCACAAAGAGAGACAGGAGCCACAGCUUAUGACUCGAGUUGUCACAUGAAUUAUAAAAGGGUUUCUAAUUCAUGGUGAUCUUAGACAUAUUUUGGAAUUUGAGAUUUGUGAGGCAAAACCAUUUAACACAAGUGAGAUCUGGGAAGCAGGCUUGGCCAUCUGUGGGAGACCAAAGUCAAGUGGAGAUGAGGAUGGCUG
rnacentral:lncRNA from 1 species